GUGGGGAAUCUUGCACAAUGGGCGAAAGCCUGAUGCAGCCAUGCCGCGUGAAUGAUGAAGGCCUUAGGGUUGUAAAAUUCUUUCGUCAGGGAUGAUAAUGACCGUACCUGAAGAAGAAGCCCCGGCUAACUUCGUGCCAGCAGCCGCGGUAAUACGAAGGGGGCUAGCGUUGUUCGGAAUUACUGGGCGUAAAGCGCACGUAGGCGGACUUUUAAGUCAGGUGUGAAAUCCCGGGGCUCAACCUCGGAACUGCAUUUGAAACUGGAAGUCUUGAGAUCAGGAGAGGUUAGCGGAAUACCGAGUGUAGAGGUGAAAUUCGUAGAUAUUCGGUGGAACACCAGUGGCGAAGGCGGCUAACUGGACUGAUACUGACGCUGAGGUGCGAAAGUGUGGGGAGCAAACAGGAUUAGAUACCCUGGUAGUCC
rnacentral:rRNA from 1 species